GAUGAACGCUAGCGACAGGCCUAACACAUGCAAGUCGAGGGGCAGCGGGGAGUGGCAACACUCCGCCGGCGACCGGCGCACGGGUGAGUAACACGUAUGCAACCUGCCCGUCACAGGGGGAUAAUCGAGAGAAAUCUCGUCUAAUACCGCAUACACUCUUCGGGAGGCAUCUCCGGGAGAGGAAAGACUAAUUGGUGACGGAUGGGCAUGCGGGACAUUAGCUAGUUGGCGGGGUAACGGCCCACCAAGGCGACGAUGUCUAGGGGUUCUGAGAGGAAGGUCCCCCACACUGGUACUGAGACACGGACCAGACUCCUACGGGAGGCAGCGGUGAGGAAUAUUGGUCAAUGGGCGAGAGCCUGAACCAGCCAAGUCGCGUGAGGGAAGACGGUCCUACGGAUUGUAAACCUCUUUUGUCGGGGAACAAAAGGCGCCACGCGUGGUGUAUAGGGUGUACCCCGAAGAAAAAGCAUCGGCUAACUCCGUGCCAAGCCGCCGCCGUAAC
rnacentral:rRNA from 1 species